AUAAAGUUAGUCUUAAAUUGUAAAAAUAGAUGAAGGUGUUUUUUUUUUAUAUAAAUAGAUUGGCCUUUUUUGUUUUCUCAUUGAUCCGAAAACCAAACAAAAACUAAACAAUACAGAUACAGGUCCAAAAACACAGUCCAAAAAUACAAAAAAGAAACAAUAAUUGAAAAUACAAAAAACAAAAAGAUUACGCAAAAACCAAAACAGGAAGAAUCUAGAAGCAAUAAGGCACCGACCCUUACACCCAAUCAAAUGCAUUGCUUUUUUCUUCGUCUCAAAAAUUCUUCAAUGUUCAUAAUUGAUGGUUUCACAAAAAACGAAGGAGCAUCCAACAGAUAGAAUAAACUUCUGAAAAAAAAAAAAAAAACUCUUUACCCUCAUUCAAUUUCCUUCCCCUCUUCUUUCAAUCUGAUUCUCUUGGCCUCCCCCUCACCCUUCUGGUAUCAACAGUCGAAAAAGCAUUCCCCUCCAGGUAAAUCAAUUUCCCCCCUUUUAGCUUUUCUAUUUCAAGAACAUGAGCAAAUUCAUUUGCUAAUCUUGGAACAUGAUUGAAACUGAUUUCUUGAAAAUUAUUCUUCAUUUGUUGAAUAUUUCUAAUGUAAACACCAAUCAGUGAUUUAUCAAAUUCCAAAGACUUACAUUUCUUAACUGCUGCUAAUGAAUCCCCUUCGAUAAUGACUUGGCUCCAUUCCUUAAUUUAUCAACACCCACACUCACCACAAGUUGACAUGCUAAAGCUUCAGCAGCGAAGGCAAACGCUACUCCCUCAUGGAAACUCAAACAAGCGAAAAGUACUGUUCCACCCUCAUCCCUAGCAACCACUACUGACGCUGAUCAAAAACUCCGACCAUCAAAAGCACCAUCAAAGUUUAUUUUGAUGACUAAACUCGUCAGUGUUAUCCAAGUAACAAUCUCCUUACUCUUUGUAUUGGUAUAUUUCUCCAACCCUUCAAGUUCUCCUAUAUAGCUAGAAAUAAAAUUUGCAGUGUCUUUACCUGUAAUGACUUUCUUUUCAUAAAUCCUUCUGUUUCUAUCCUUCCAAAUAACCCAGAGUGCACAGUAGAUUAACUUCCUCAGAUGGGUAGUACAAGAUUCAAAAAUCCAAAACAUUGUCGGCAUAGAUGAUCCAUUGAUUCGUCCACACCUAAACACCGAGGGCAGCAAGCAUUUGCGAUUAACUUCUUAGAGUUUAAGUUAGCAAACAUAGGUAGAUAGUUCCAAGAAAUCCUUCAGAAUGUAAUUUUAAUUUUUCUCGGAAGGACUAGUUUCCAUAAGAGCUUAUAGAAAUCACUAGAUCUGGUCUGUAAUGAAUAAGCACUAGGAUCCUCCAAAUUUUUUUGUAAUAGUUUGUAGGCGCUACGAAUCGAGAACUCCCUGAACGCUCCCCACCCCAGGUCAGAAAAUCCUCAUAGGCGUCCUGAGCAAGCAGAAUCCGAAGAAUAUGAUCAAACAUCCAACUGCAUGAAUAAAUCUCUUAUUAACCCCUACUUCCAGUUUCGAUCGCGACACCAUUAAAUUCUGCAAAAUUCAACUAUUACUAGACACUCUAAAAUUUGCAUUACCAAGAAUCCAUGCAUCAUCAAAUACAGAGAUUUUAUUCACAAACCCGCAC